GAUGCCCAGCUUGCUGGGUGGAUUAGUGGCGAACGGGUGAGUAACACGUGUAGUAACCUGCCCCUGACUCUGGGAUAAGCGUUGGAAACGACGUCUAAUACUGGAUAUGAUCACUGGCCGCAUGGUCUGGUGGUGGAAAGAUUUUUUGGUUGGGGAUGGACUCGCGGCCUAUCAGCUUGUUGGUGAGGUAAUGGCUCACCAAGGCGACGACGGGUAGCCGGCCUGAGAGGGUGACCGGCCACACUGGGACUGAGACACGGCCCAGACUCCUACGGGAGGCAGCAGUGGGGAAUAUUGCACAAUGGGCGAAAGCCUGAUGCAGCAACGCCGCGUGAGGGAUGACGGCCUUCGGGUUGUAAACCUCUUUUAGUAGGGAAGAAGCGAAAGUGACGGUACCUGCAGAAAAAGCACCGGCUAACUACGUGCCAGCAGCCGCGGUAAUACGUAGGGUGCAAGCGUUGUCCGGAAUUAUUGGGCGUAAAGAGCUCGUAGGCGGUUUG
rnacentral:rRNA from 1 species